CACCGAGGGAGGGCGAGCGGGGCCGGCGGGGCGCGAUGGCGGAGGGCGGGGACCCGCCCGCCCCGGGCAGCGCAGGUCGCAACCUGAAGGAGUGGCUGCGGGAGCAGUUCUGCGACCACCCGCUGGAGCGCUGCGAGGACACCCGGCUGCACGACGCGGCCUUCGUGGGGGACCUGCCCACGCUGCGCAGCCUGCUGCAGGACGAGAGCUUCCAGAGCCGGAUCAACGAGAAGUCGGUGUGGUGCUGCGGGUGGCUGCCCUGCACGCCGCUGCGCAUCGCGGCCACCGCCGGCCACGGCCCCUGCGUCGACUUCCUGCUGCGCAAGGGGGCCGAGAUCGACCUGGUGGACGUCAAGGGGCAGACAGCCCUCUACGUGGCCGUGGUCAACGGGCACCUGGAGUGUGCCAAGAUCCUGCUGAAGGCCGGCGCUGACCCCAACGGCAGCCGGCACCACCGCAGCACCCCGGUGUACCACGCGGCGCGGGUGGGGCGUGCCGACAUCCUGCGGGAGCUCAUCAGGUACGGCGCGGACGUGGACGUGAACCACCAGCUGGCUUCCCGCGGGCCAGGGCAGGCGCUGCGGCCGCUGACCACGCUGGUGGUGUGUCCCCUGUACAUCAGCGCUGCCUACCACAACCUGCCCUGCUUCCGCCUGCUGCUCCAGGCGGGAGCCAACCCGGAUUUUAACUGCUGCGGGCCCAUCAACGUGCAGGGCUUCUCGCGGGGCUCGCCCGUGUGCGUGCUGGACGCCGUCCUGCGGCACGGCUGCGAGCCGGCCUUCGUCCGCCUCCUCGUUGACUUUGGAGCAGAUCUCAACCUCGUCAAGGUGGAGGCCUUGGGAGUUGAGGCCACGGGGAGGGUCAAGGUGAACGCCGAGGCGCUGGAGGUGUUCAAAGAAGCGAGGGGUGAGUGGGUUUGGGUCCCUGGAGCGGCGCUGCAGGUGCAGGAGAGCGCUUUGGAGGGGUUGCUUGGAAGUGAAGGUGCUGCUGAGGUGGUGGGGUGGAUGUUGGUGUCCUCACUUCAAGGAUCUUCAGCAAUUAGAUAACGGGGUCUAACAAGCUGACAAAGCAUUAAUGACUUUUCCGCUCCCUGCCUUUCCCCUGUUGCAUUUUGUACCUUCACAUGGUGUUUCCCCCUCUUGAGUCCUUCAGCAGCACCACCCCUGUCUGUUACUCCGCCUUUUUCGUCUCUCCCAGCUCUUUUCCAUUGCCUACUCAUGUAGGCAAGGUGUAGGGGUCCCAUCCGAGCUGGGCUUUGGAGCUGUGGAUCACCAGUGGCAUCCAGCUCUCCAGAGCCACACAGGUGUGUCCCAGCUUCCUGUGUGACCCUGGGCUCUGGAUCCAGGAGGGAGUUUAAUCUGGACAGACUGGUUGGGAAGGAAAGCCACAAACGGUGGUAAGAAGGGGUAAGAAGGGGCAGGAGCAAGCUCGGAUGGAGGUGAAAAAAGGUGAGGGAAAGUGCAGCACCUCAGAAGCCCACCUGGUGAAGGCCACAGCUUUGCACCAGGGAUGGAAGUAAAGUUUCCCUCUUGAACUCCAGAGAAAUUUCAAAGGGAUGCAGGCUGUGAGAUACAAUUCACAUCCCCAGGUUACCCAGCUUUGCAUGGGCCUGGUUUUCAAACCUGCCUGGGAUUCUGAGGAGAGAAGCUCACAGAAGCUGGAGUUCCAUUAGGCCUGGGUUGAGGAGGCAAAUGGGACUCCUCAGGUGGAGCAUAUGGGUUAAUGGAGUGAUUCAGUUCCUGAAUCAACAUGGGCACCACCAUCCUCUUCUCCCUGUGCUGGAAGAGCUCUCCAUGGACUCAGAGGAAGCCCUCAAAAGAAAGCUGGGAUAAGGCCUGAGCUGGCUGCCGCACCCGGAGCCUCUUGUCUCUGUGCCGCAUAGCUGUACGGAGAAUCCUU